rnacentral:rRNA from 1 species
CUGCUGCCUUCCGUAGGAGUUUGGUCCGUGUCUCAGUACCAAUGUGGGGGACCUUCCUCUCAGAACCCCUAUCCAUCGUCGGUUUGGUGGGCCGUUACCCCGCCAACUGCCUAAUGGAACGCAUGCCUAUCUAUCAGCGAUGAAUCUUUAGCAAAUAUCCCCAUGCGGGGCCCCUGCUUCAUGCGGUAUUAGUCCGACUUUCGUCCGGGUUAGUUCCCCCUCCUGAUAGGCAAGUUAGUCAUACGCGUUACUCACCCGUCGCGCCGG